rnacentral:lncRNA from 1 species
GGAAUUCCAAACUAGUUUAAACAUCAAAAGGCCAAAUAGAAAUCAGGCCAAAUAGAAAUCUUAUAUUUUACAGUAAAACAGAAAUGAACUUUUUCAUGACCUUGUGAGAUGGCUCCCUGUGAGCUGCAAGACAGGCUGAAUAAAUGUUAGCUGCAGAGUGGGCUGAACACUGCACCCCCACCCAUCUGGUUCCUUAUCGCUUGUUUGCCUCAAGGCUGAACACUGAAUCCCACUCAAGGCUGAACACUCAACUCCCACUUGUCUGGUGCAAGGAAACCCAUAACUGGCCCCUGCCUGAUCUGUCUGAAGGCAGAAGAUGACACCCUUGGCAAGUACUGUGUGACCCAAUCCCUGUAUGCCAACAGAGCAGCUUGCAGACCCAGAGACACUGUUAGAUUUAAACACACAGCAAAAGGGAUGUAAGACCUCCUUUCUCUCGCUUUGCUGUCUCCCUCUCUCUCUUCUCUCCUUCCCUGCUCUCUCUCUUUCUCCUUUUCUCAUUGAUCAGACACCACCGAAAUAAAGAUCUCUUGCUCAGAGUGUCAUGGUCACUUUCCUUUCACUCCCAAUCUUAAAAUGGAAUUAGGCUGGGUUCUUCAAGAAUUUCUGUUUUUGUAGGGAGGAGCAAACAGGAGUAGAAACAGGGUGGGACAGGAAUGGAGCAGGGGGUGGUAACCUUAGACCCUAGACUAACUCUAUCCAGUUUCCCUCUGAAGUCACCCUGCUUUUAGAGUGACCUUGCUCAGGCUGAGGGUGGGUCAAAGAUCACAGACCGAGAGGAAAGACAGUUCAGAAAAAGCUUGCUUAAUAAGUGUUAGAUUUAGUUAAAUGGUGCCCCGUUUGUGGGGUGUGAAAGAUUUUACAGAGUCUAAGUGCAAAGCAAAGUUUUAUUCAAUUUCCCAGGGAGAAAAGGGUCAGAUACCAUAGGCAGCAUAAUCGCAAAAUGAGCAAUGCAGACUCCAUAGGUUCUGCGAAGCUGUGUGUUUAUUCCCAGACUCAAUCACUCAGGCACCCAAGGGGCUCACUUUCUGGUUAGAAUUGAAUUUUAUCGGGUACAAUGAGGAUGGUUUAAUCGUUGGAAACUGCUGACAUGCCGAUGGGACAGUCAGGGAAUUAGUUGUGCAGGUUAAAAGUUUAACUCAGCAAGGCAGGUGUAAAAAGGUUGACGAGUCCUUGCUUCCCCGAUGUUGAAGAAUAACACCAAAGAAGCACGCUGAGGCAAGGUCAGAGUAGAAAUUAGAAGUUUAUUAAAGGACAGCAGAAAAGACUUCNC